CUGCGAACGGCUCAUUAGAGCUUAUAUAAAGUUUUCGGCUGCCUCUUAGGCUAUCUUCGACAAAUUGAAGCUAAUACGUGCACUCAUGUCCUUCUCGAAGGGCGCAAUAUUAGAACUACUGGCUUGCCGGCGGUUGAUUUCAAUUAUCGUUUUAUAUCGGAAGGCGACUUCCGAUGGCCGUAAACUGUGUACGCCCUAUCACCCAGCAGGUUAAUCAUUCGCUAACCAGGGGUAUUACGGGUAACGGAGAACUAGGGUUCGUCUCCGGAGAAGAAGCCUUUGAAAGGCUACUACAUCCAAGGAAGGCAGCAGGCGCGUAACUUAUCCACUACCACAGUGAGAUAGUAACUAGUCUUAACUAUUGACUGAUCUUUUAGGUUAGUCAUGGUCCAUGAGUUGAGCCUAAGUAGCUCUUCGAGGACCAAGUGGAGGGCAAGUCUGGUGCCAGCAGCCGCGGUAAUUCCAGCU
rnacentral:rRNA from 1 species